AUCCUCGUGGGUGUGCGUUGUCUCAUUGUGACUUUGAUUUGGAUUUCCCUAAUGACUCAUCACGUUGAGCAACCUUUCCUGUGCAUGCUGACCAUUCGGUGAAAUCUGACAUCAUCUCUACCGUUGAGUUCAACCACACGGGAGAGCUGCUGGCCACAGGUGACAAGGGCGGCCGGGUCGUCAUCUUCCAGCGGGAACCAGAGAUAAAACUAUCAAAUUAUGGAAGAUUACCGAACGAGAUAAAAGGCCCGAAGGAUACAACCUGAAGGAUGAAGAGGGGAAACUUAAGGACCUGUCCACGGUGACGUCACUGCAGGUGCCAGUGCUGAAGCCCAUGGAUCUGAUGGUGGAGGUGAGCCCUCGGAGGAUCUUUGCCAAUGGCCACACCUACCACAUCAACUCCAUCUCCGUCAACAGUGACUGCGAGACCUACAUGUCGGCGGAUGACCUGCGCAUCAACCUCUGGCACCUGGCCAUCACCGACAGGAGCUUCAACAUCGUGGACAUCAAGCCGGCCAACAUGGAGGACCUUACGGAGGUGAUCACAGCAUCUGAGUUCCAUCCGCACCACUGCAACCU
rnacentral:sRNA from 1 species